GGCUAGGAAAGGAAUGUAGGAGGCAGUAAGUUGAUAGUAAAUGAAUCUUGUGGUUUCAGCAGCAUGAACUCCUUCAGUUGUUCUUUGUGUCGACUGAUGUUCAACCUGCUGUUGAUGAUUCACAGUUUCAUUCUGAGACUCUGAAACUUUCUCUUCUCUUCCAGAAUCAAACACUGGAUGGAUCGUUGCUGCUGCAGUUCUUGCUGUUGGUUUCAUCGUUCUGGCUGUGGCUUUAGUUAUACAACACAUCAGACUGAAUCGUCUUAUAGACGACAAGAAGAGACGACCGCUGGACGACUGCAGUCAGUCAGAGAAGCUGCAGGAUCCAGAAACUCCACGUGAGCUGUGAACAACAUCUUUCCAUGGUUUCAGCUUUGACCGCAGCUCUUUGAAGCAGCUCGUCUUCUUCUGCAGCGACUGGAGAAUCGCCUCCAUCUGCCCUUUAUCUCCACACAUUCACACAACAGUGGUGGAGGGAAACGCUCCUUACUUUGCUCUUUAUUUAGCUGCUUUUAAGGGUCAAUGGAUGAAAACUUGACUUUUCAGUGAUCAGAGAGUGAGGACGUUGUGAAGAACAAAACAAGACUUUUGUCUUCAGACGAGCUCCAACAACACGACGUAGAAACUAGUUUGUUUCUAACGUAACGCCUUUAAAAUGCUCCACAACAGUUCAACACUAACAGUCUGUUAACUGUCAUUUAUUGAUCAGACCUCACACUGUUUACAUUUAUCAUACUGGAGGUUAUUUAUUCAUCAUUACAACAAGAGUAUUAUUAAUAUAAAGUGCUGUAUAAAUGUCUCCAGGUACCAAAUAUUAUCUGCUGCUUGGAGUUCUUAAAGGUCCAAAGUGAGACAUGAACAGAAACAUGAGACUUCACUGAACUGAAGGAAAACUAAUGUCAACAUUUUGAAGCUAAAGUCAAAUAUUAUGAGACUGUUUUUAUUCUGAUCUUGUUUUUAUAUUGUCAUUAUUUGUGACGAUCAUGUUGUGUUUGUUUUUAUUUGUUAAGGUGCUCA